AUUGAACGCUGGCGGCAGGCCUAACACAUGCAAGUCGAGCGGAUGAAGGGAGCUUGCUCCUGGAUUCAGCGGCGGACGGGUGAGUAAUGCCUAGGAAUCUGCCUGGUAGUGGGGGAUAACGUCCGGAAACGGGCGCUAAUACCGCAUACGUCCUGAGGGAGAAAGUGGGGGAUCUUCGGACCUCACGCUAUCAGAUGAGCCUAGGUCGGAUUAGCUAGUUGGUGGGGUAAAGGCCUACCAAGGCGACGAUCCGUAACUGGUCUGAGAGGAUGAUCAGUCACACUGGAACUGAGACACGGUCCAGACCCCUACGGGAGGCAGCAGUGGGGAAUAUUGGACAAUGGGCGAAAGCCUGAUCCAGCCAUGCCGCGUGGGUGAAGAAGGUCUUCGGAUUGUAAAGCACUUUAAGUUGGGAGGAAGGGCAGUAAGUUAAUACCUUGCUGUUUUGACGUUACCAACAGAAUAAGCACCGGCUAACUUCGUG
rnacentral:rRNA from 1 species